CCUACGGGAUGCAGCAGUGGGGGAUAUUGCACAAUGGGGGAAACCCUGAUGCAGCGACGCCGCGUGGGCGAAGAAGUAUUUCGGGAUGUAAAGUUCUAUCAGCAGGGAAGAAGAAAUGACGGUACCUGAGGAAGAAGCACCGGCUAAACACGUGCCAGCAGCCGCGGUAAUACGUAUGGUGCAAGCGUUAUCCGGAUUUACUGGGUGUAAAGGGAGGGCAGGCGGGACGGCAAGCUUGAUGUGAAAGCCCGCGGCCCAACCGCGGGACGGCAUUGGGAACUGCCGGGCUGGAGUGCCGGAGAGGUAGGCGGAAUUCCGAGUGUAGCGGUGAAAUGCGUAGAUAUCACGAAGAACUCCGGUUGCGAAGGCAGCUUACUAGACUGCCACUGACGUUGAUGCUCGAAAGUGUGGGGAUCAAACAGGAUUAGAUACCCCGGUAGUC
rnacentral:rRNA from 1 species